CAAAAGCUAACAUUUUUAUGGCCAACAGAGGAUCUCUCUGGGUUUCAAGCCUAGCGGAUAAGAAACAACUAAAAAAGGAAGCAGGGGAUACCUUUCAGUUUCAGAGUGUGUGGGGCUGGCAAUGGCAGCAUUUUCUUCUUACUGUGUAAAACCUCAUCCUCUGACCUUACGCCCAAAUAGACUCCCCUGCCCACGGUGCUCCUCCAGAACACCGGAUAGCAAGAAACCCGCCGCAUCCGGUACCGGAACUCCGCAGAUUUUGAAAGUCGUGGUGAGCGGCGCCACAGAGCUUUUGAGACUCUUCUCCUCCUCCUCCACCUACAACAAAAAUAGAGUGAGUGAUGAAAAGAGAGAGGAGAUUUUAGUAUCUGGUGUUGAUGAUGUGGUGACGAUCCUCAAAUCUGAUUAUGACAAUGCCUACUUCGUAACAGGGGCUUUUACUUCUGCAAUAUAUGCUGAAGAUUGUAUCUUUGAAGAUCCAACGAUUAGAUUUCAAGGUAAGGAGUUAUAUUCACGAAACUUAAAAUUGCUUGUUCCUUUCUUUGACCAUCCAUCAAUUGGAUUGCAAAAGAUUGAGAAGGGUAUGAAUUCCAAAACUAAUUUUGUGCUAGCAACGUGGAAGCUAAGGACUUACCUGAAACUUCCAUGGAAGCCUCUGAUUUGCAUUGAUGGAAGUACAGUCUAUGAGUUAAAUGGCGACUUCAAUGAGAAAUAUAUGGACCUUGGUCUGGAUGGGGGGACCCUAUUAUAUGGAAAUUGAGCGUAUGGAUGGUUUUUCAAUGCAAUCCGAUCAAUGCAACUUUAUCUUGAAGUCAAACGCCCCAUAUUGCAUGCGGGUACAAUAGGAAGAGUGAGGCGCUCUAUAGAAAAGUCCAAGUACAAAUAAUGCAGUGCUGAAUAGAAAAAUAAAAGGAUAAGAAAGGACAAUGUCAAAUGUAUGGGCUCUGUUCUUUGGCAACGUACGUCAAGGAGGGAAUUGCCCAAGGAAAUAGUUUACUAUCAUCCAACGAGUGGAUUGAGAUGUUGCAGUUGGAAGCCAUAACCAGUAAAGGGGGGCUUGUGUGCUUGUACUGCGCAUGGGGCCACAGAUAGAGUUGGAAUGGGGCCUAUUUUGAAUAUUUGAGUCCUAUGAAGCUACGUACAACAGAUGCCACCCAUUGAGGCGUUGGAGGCAAGGCCGGUCGAUGUCAUGUGAAGUGUGUGGAAACUCAUGCGUACGUGCGCAAGCCGUUGUAUAGAGAUGAUAAGUAGCAAAGCUCGUUGGUUAUUAUUUUAAAGAAAGGAGUAGGUUCUUCUUUUUCAUAAAAGAGAGGGUAAUUGAGGACAUUAUGUUUUGUUUGGAUAAAGGUGGUUUACCUUUUGAGCAAGUAGGUUUGAGGACCAAGGCGGGGGCGGGUGCAUGCGCGCAUGGAUGCAUGAUUUGGUUUGGUUGGGCGGGGGGAUCAUAUAUAUUGUACAAUAUUAGUGGAGAAAUAUUAAUGGAACAUCUUCUCCUCAUCUAAUUCUCACUUUCAAACUGACUACUUCAACCUCAUCACUCAG